AUUGAACGCUGGCGGCAGGCCUAACACAUGCAAGUCGAACGAGUGGCGGACGGGUGAGUAAUGUCUGUGAAACUGCCUGAUGGAGGGGGAUAACUACUGGAAACGGUAGCUAAUACCGCACACCAUCAGAUGUGCCCAGAUGUGAUUAGCUAGUAGGUGGGGGAACGGCUCACCUAGGCGACGAUCCCUAGCUGGUCUGAGAGGAUGACCAGCGACACUGGAACUGAGACACGGUCCAGACUCCUACGGGAGGCAGCAGUGGGGAAUAUUGCACAAUGGGCGCAAGCCUGAUGCAGCCAUGCCGCGUGUAUGAAGAAGGCCUUCGGGUUGUAAAGUACUUUCAGCGGGGAGGCGUUACCCGCAGAAGAAGCACCGGCUAACUCCGUGCCAGCAGCCGCGGUAAUAC
rnacentral:rRNA from 1 species